GCGUGACUGGUAUUUCGUCAUCCCGCCUCUGCUCGAUUCGGCUCCGUCCGAUGGCGGUGCUUGCGCCUUGACGCCGCGCCUCGCACGAUGGCCGCCAGAAGCCUAUGCCUUGGCCGCUUUAGCUAUUGUUUAGCUCUGACAGAAUCAAGUCAAUCAACUAUGGGACAGAUUUUUGUGUACACUUCUUGUGCAUAUGUGAAGGGAAGCAAGCUUGGAUUCACUGGAUGAUGUAUACACACCAAGUGCACCUCGCUUUCAUAAUAGCAAGCAACCUCAUAUUGAGAUUCUUCUAAUUACGGUACUCCUAAUAAUUGAAUAUGUGGGGAGAGUCAGUGUUCCAUGAAACCAGAUUGCUUUCCUUGCUACAGAGUAUGAGCCACCUAGGUUUGUUUCCCGUCAGCUAACUUCCUACACCAAGCCAGCGGCUUGAUGUUGAGGUAAAGUCUUAAAGAAAAUUCUGAUCGAAGUUUGUACCUGAUCAAAGUUUGCUGGCUUGGUGGCGAGGGCGUCAACAUGGCGACGGCGGCAGCCCGCGCUCGCAUCCGUUGGUCAGCAGAGGAGAGCAGCAGGCGGCCACGGCGCCCCGCGCUCAUGUCCGUGGGCCAGCAGAGGUGAAGCCGACGGUGGCGCCGGAGACUCUCGCUCGCAUCCAUGGGGCAGUGUAGGAGAGGCAAGUGGCGACGGCGGUCUGUGCUCGCGUCAUUGGGGCAGUAGAGGAGCGGACGGCGGCGACUGAGUCCCGUGUUUGCGUCUUUGGGGUAGCAGAAGAGGAGCGGACAAGGGACAACGGCAGCGUCGAUCCGCGCUCACGUCCAUAGGGCAGCAGACAACAGAGGAGGAGCGGCGGGCGGUGGCGGCGAUCUGCGCACGCGUCUGUGGGGUAGCAGAGAGACGACGCGUUGUGAGGGCAGAGAGAAAAUUACGGGAUAGAAACCCCCUAUCCUCGUUAAUUGAGGACCAACCAGUGCGUCGGGCAGUCUGCUUGGCAGAACAUUUAAUCUGGGACGUUCAUGUACGUAGCAGACCCUUGAUGUAAUAUGGAUUGUUAGAUGCUAUUUAGUUGGAUUGAUUUAACGCCUCUGAUAAUCCUGUGUAUA